UCCAUCUCCCCUUAAUCCUUCUCUACAGUUCUAUAUCUAAACCUAAAUCAAACUCUACUCUGAAAAGCUACAGCCAUGGCCAUGAAAUCCACCGGAAAAAAAAAUCUAUGCCAUAUAGCUCUCAUGUCUUUAUCGAUGGCUUCUCCCGUUCUUCCACUAUCUGCAUCUCUGAUUGUCAUCGUCAAGAUCGUAACUUCUGGAUGAUGAUUCAUUCCUCAGGUUCUAAAUCCAUCAUCACAACUCCUCACACCGUCUUCUUCGACGACAUGUUUGCCAGAAUCCUAAACCAGAUGCUUAUUGGUCUUCAACUACUCUUCAUCGACGAGAAGUUUCAGGAUCUGCUAUUAACGACCAGCUACACACAUUUUUGUGACAAUUUUGAGGAUAACAAAGAUGCAGUGGUGAAAUGACAACAAUUUAAUUGGUCAGUUCGGAAGCAAGAUGAUUACGAGGUAGUGAGGAAAGUGGGUAGAGGCAAAUACAGUGAGGUUUUAGAGGGGAUUAACAUGAACAGCAACGAGAAGUGUGUUAUCAAGAUCCUUAAGCCUGUCAAGAAGAAGAAGCUGUACUUGCAGCUGAGUUUCUUUUCCUGUGAACCCUUAACCACUCCUCUGCAAAUGGCUGCCUCCGAUGGAAUUUCCGCUGAACUUGCUGCUCAGCACACAACCUUUAACGAUCUCGGCCUUGGUCGGCCCUCUCAGCUGCUGAGGAUUUCCCACAUGUCGAGACAAUGGGAGAGAUUCAAAAGCAAGAACUUGUGUCAAUUGGGGGAUCUUUGCACGCACCUUUCCAAGUCCACCGACCAGAUCCAUGAAGCUGACGAAAAUCCCUAAGAAAGACUAAUUGGCGGUGGAGUGUAAGAGCUCCCAAGAUGCUUCAAAGAACUUGCUGGCAAGCAGUGCCUCUUUUAGAUUCGAGUGACACCCUACAAUUUCACUCCCCAGUCCCCACUACCGGACCUUCACAGUGUCUACUGGAGAUGUGGAUGUGAAGACCAUUCAGGGGUAAGCUAAGCUUUGUUUUUUUUUUAAUAUAAAUUGUAAGCUAAGCUUUGUUGAGAUCUGUGUUUAAAAAGGCGAGCGCCUUUUGCGCCAAGGGGCAAGGCGAACUAAGGCGACAGCCCUACCGCCAUGGACCUCCAAGGCGAGGGUAUGUUCCGUAAGGCGCUCGCCAAGUGCGCAUUGGUCAUAAGGCGGUGCCUUAAAAGGCAACACAAAGGCACGCCAUGGAGACGAUGACGUUAACCGAUACUAAACCACGUAGAAACCCUAACAUAAUAAAUGGACCAACCUUUAACCAAACUUAAAACCAAACGUCUAAAAACUUAUCAAAACCGUAGCUUGCUCUUUUAGAAAAGCAAAGUUAAAAACUUAACAAAACAUGGAUCUCAUGGACUGUGUUUUGCAUAAGGUUAGUAUGUACUAUCUUCUCUAAUCUCAAGGGGCUUUCUUGUGAUAAAAACUAUUUAAUAAAAGAUAAAAUCAUCACGUGAAUGAAAUUUGUAUAUUACGCACGGAUACAUAACAAGACAUAACUAACGUAUUCUUCAAGUGGGUCUUCAAGGCGAGCGCUUUCUUGCGCCAUGGCGCAAGGCGUAAGGCACACACCUCAUCGCCUUGGAUCGCCAUGCACCAUUUAAAACACAGUUUGAGAUAAUAACCUGGAUGGAGGUGAUCUAGAAAAAAAACUUCAUGUUCGUAUCAGGGUGAAAGUAACAACAGAGCUCCACAAGUGGUAAGCCAAAGUGAGCAACCACCUGCUUCUGCAAGCGAUCCGAUAGAUGCGGCUACAAAAGUGAUGGCAGUGGAUCAACAACACCACCCAGCUUUGGAGGCCAAGAGAAGAGUUGCAAACGCUACCUUGAGUGAUAGUUGGAAGUGUAGUAAGCCGUAGUUCCCACUAAGAUUUAUGUUCGUGUAUUACAAACUGAACAUUAACUA